GGGGGAUAUUGCGCAAUGGGGGCAACCCUGACGCAGCAACGCCGCGUGAAGGAUGAAGGUUUUCGGAUUGUAAACUUCUUUUAUUAAGGACGAAAAAUGACGGUACUUAAUGAAUAAGCUCCGGCUAACUACGUGCCAGCAGCCGCGGUAAUACGUAGGGAGCAAGCGUUGUCCGGAUUUACUGGGUGUAAAGGGUGCGUAGGCGGCUUUGCAAGUCAGAUGUGAAAUCUAUGGGCUCAACCCAUAAACUGCAUUUGAAACUGUAGAGCUUGAGUGAAGUAGAGGCAGGCGGAAUUCCCCGUGUAGCGGUGAAAUGCGUAGAGAUGGGGAGGAACACCAGUGGCGAAGGCGGCCUGCUGGGCUUUAACUGACGCUGAGGCACGAAAGCGUGGGUAGCAAACAGGAUUAGAUACCCUGGUAGUCCACGCUGUAAACGAUGAUUACUAGGUGUGGGGGGUCUGACCCCUUCCGUGCCGGAGUUAACACAAUAAGUAAUCCACCUGGGGAGUACGGCCGCAAGGUUGAAACUCAAAGGAAUUGACGGGGGCCCGCACAAGCAGUGGAGUAUGUGGUUUAAUUCGAAGCAACGCGAAGAACCUUACCAGGUCUUGACAUCCAACUAACGAAGUAGAGAUACAUUAGGUGCCCUUCGGGGAAAGUUGAGACAGGUGGUGCAUGGUUGUCGUCAGCUCGUGUCGUGAGAUGUUGGGUUAAGUCCCGCAACGAGCGCAACCCUUGCUAUUAGUUGCUACGCAAGAGCACUCUAAUAGGACUGCCGUUGACAAAACGGAGGAAGGUGGGGACGACGUCAAAUCAUCAUGCCCCUUAUGACCUGGGCUACACACGUACUACAAUGGAUGUUAACAGAGGGAAGCAAGACAGCGAUGUGGAGCAAACCCCUAAAAACAUUCUCAGUUCAGAUUGCAGGCUGCAACCCGCCUGCAUGAAGAUGGAAUUGCUGGUAAUCGGGGAUCAGCAUGCCGCGGUGAAUAGGUUCCCG
rnacentral:rRNA from 1 species